rnacentral:rRNA from 1 species
GGACCAGAUGUUUUCACCGGUGCUUUAUUUAAGCAAUGUUUGGUAAUCAUUAAAAAGGAUUCCAUGAAGGCUAUCAACCACUUUGGCAACCUGCAUGACGCCAACCUUCCUUGGCACAACACCGCCAACAUCGUGAUGUUGCCUAAAAAAGAGGGUGCAGAGGGGAUGGCCGAAUAUAGACCUAUUAGCCUCAUUCACGCAUUUGCAAAGAUUAUAGCCAAAAUUCUAGCCAUGCGGUUAGGUCCCCACAUGGGCACCCUCAUUUUCAAAGCCCAAAGUUCUUUCAUCAAGAGGAGGAGAAUCCAUGAUAAAUUCAUGUAUGUGCGCAAUCUCGGGCAUAGCCUUCACAAGAGAGAAAAAACCUUCCUAUUGUUUAAGCUUGACAUCUGAAAGGCGUUUGACUCGGUUCGUUGGGAGCACCUUCUUGAUAUACUCCAAUAUAGGGGCUUCCCUAGCAAGUUCAGAGAUUGGAUUGCUACUUUGUUGUGCUCCUCGUCAUCUCGAGUGUUUCUCAAUGGUGUGGCCAACCCCCAUCAAGCAUUCCCGAGGCUUACGUCGUGGAUCCGCUAUCCCCAUUUCAUCAUUGUUAUCGAACCCCUUCAACACAUCCUUGACUUGGUAACAUCGCAUGGCCUCCUUCACAAGGUUAGGGGUCAGGGAGCCAUCAUGAGAUAUUGA